rnacentral:rRNA from 1 species
UACGUAGGUGACAAGCGUUGUCCGGAUUUACUGGGCGUAAAGCGCGCGCAGGCGGCACUCUAAGUACGUCGUGAAAUAUCCCGGCUCAACCGGGAGGGUGCGAUGUAGACUAGGGAGCUAGAGGUCGGUAGAGGGGGGUGGAAUUGCUGGUGUAGCGGUGAGAUGCGUAGAGAUCAGCAGGAACACCCGUGGCGAAGGCGGCCCCCUGGGCCGUACCUGACGCUGAGGCGCGAAGGCUAGGGGAGCGAACGGG